rnacentral:lncRNA from 1 species
AUAGUAAUAGAAAGAAGGAAUAGUAACAACUAGCUAAAUAAUACAAUAAUUGAAAUAUUGGAAAUAACAGAAAUUGAAGUAAAAAAUAUGAGAAUAGUGCUAAAACAACCAGUAAGAAAUGAGAAGCAGAUACGGCCCUCCAACCAAGCUUAUUUUAAAGCGAGAUAAUUGCUCAACUAUCUACUAACCGUUUACCCUAAUUCCCGACCUCCAUAUUCUCCUGUCUAAGGUCAUGUCCUCGAUAAACUGGAGAUGUGUCAUGUCCUAUUUAAUCAUCUCCCCCCAAUAGUUCUUCAGCCUCAUCUACCUCCUUAAAUCCACCAUUCUUAAUUUCUCGCACCUCCUCACUUAGAGUCUCCCUUUCACAUGUUUGAACCAUUUCAACCUCACUGCUCUCAUCUUGUUCAUCACGGGAGUCACUACAACCAUGUCCCCGAAUAUCAUCAUUUCUAAUCCUAUAUGCUCACUUUUUCUAAAUCAUAGUUGAUUUAAUAAUUACUGCUAAUACAGACAUUAAAGCACCAAGAGGGACAAAAAGAACUUCACAAGUGACAAGAAAAUCAAAAAGGGGUUUUCAUCAACAUUUGAUUAGAUUAAUUAAUCGUUUAAAGAUCAUGAUAACGGUGCUUAAGAUAUCUAUAGCUAAAAGGCGAUAUAUAUUGCCCUUUGAAUUGUUUUUCACUUUAAGCAGAAUGCAUGUUUCUAGACUAGAAACGAAGCACUUGAGUGAUGGAAGCUAAAAGGAAAACAGUAAAUAAUAGUAGUUCACUUUUCAUAAAGCUUGAAGGGAUAGAACAUCUUUUUGGUCGUAACAUAUAUACCAUCACUUUGAUUAGAUUCCACUCUUCAAGGUUGUCGACUGGAAUAUUUAACUACAUAAUAUGUUAAGGAUGUGACUUACUAUGGGAAUCAGAAGUAAAUUGUUUUCUUUUAGAAAAUGGCAAAGCGCGAUCAACGGUGUCUAAAGUCGAUUGGAUAUGUUAAAAUCAUACAAGGAUGAAUAAUUGAACCUUCAGAAGGUUCAACUCCAGGGUGUAGGUUAUAAUCAUUCAACUGUCUAUCAUACAUGCUAUUAACAAUGUAUGGAAGUUCUAAAGUUCGAAUUAAAUUAGCCUAAAAAAGAAAUCCUUAUCUCUUGUAACAAGAAAACAUGUUGAGCUGACAAAUUUUCUGAUCCUUUUGGAACUUGCUGUAAAAUGCAUAGCUUAUUGUUAUGCUAUUUCUGGUUAUAUAUAUCCACUAGACAUAUAUGAGAUGUUUGUUUUUUUGCUUCUUUACUUCCAUUAAUUGCAAUAUAAUGUUUUGGCGUUUGUCAUCCUUUUGUUGGGAACUGAACUGUACAUAUUGUCUUAAAUAGUGAUGAGGUGGGUAAAAGAAUCAAGCAGACUGUCUCCCUUCCCAACCUUUUGCUUUCUGCUCAUCCUCCUGAUGUGUUGUAGCUUUUCUUGGCAAUGUUUGAUCACACAUAUCUUUUCUGUUUGCCAAUUACUACCUCCUUUCCCAUCAUCACCCUACCCCCUUGAUAAAUUCUUUCGAGUUUAACUUUUAUACACUAACAAGUAUAAAACAUUUUUCUAACCCUAAUUUCUAGAAAGCAAACCAAAUGACACUAAUAGUUUCAAAAAAGUUAUAUUGCCCGUGUAUACAAGUUAAAUACUGGAAUCCUUGAUGGUUUAGUAUAGAUUGGGAUGAAAAAGUACAGAGAGAGAAAAAGAAAGUGAUGGGUUCUGGUAUAUAUGAGGCAAAGCACAUGGGAAAUGACUCUCUCUGCAAAAAAAGCAGAUUGAUUUAUCCUUAAAGUGUCUGUUAAGUGGAGUAACUACUACUUUGUCUUUAAAAGUAUAAAAUGGAUCUGCUUUGGCGUUUGAAUUUAUUUCCCCAUCCUUGCUUGUUUAUUUGCCGAUCAUGACACUAAUUCUAGGGCUUAUUUCUUUUUUUAAAAUAUUGAUAGACUGCUUUUAUUUCUUUACAAACAAAAGCACCAAGUGCUGGUAAGUUUUUACGUAGAACUGUAGCUCUUUCCAUACAGAAAGAGACAACUAUCUGCAAAAAUCAUUUUUAUUAAGUAGGCAAAUAAAUAGUUUAAAAGAACAAAAAUGACAACUCAUCUCUGGGUGAAAUCACUAACGAAAGUAAAUUUAUAUUAGUGAUCCUUAGGGCCCAUAGCUAUGUGUAUAUGGUCAACUAAUGCUAAUUUGUAUGCAGGAUAUACCCCACUCCGAGUAGAAACAAAAUUGAAGUAAAGGCACCUAGGUAGGUGACUACAAAUCUGGGGUAUCACAAACAAAAAAUAAACAAAUACUAGAUGAUUUCUUUGUACGUUGUGAUGGUGGAAGGUAGUAGAUAUCUAAUGAAAAAAUCCGGGUUUCAAAUUAAGAUUUAGGUAUAGCUCCGCUCCGGAGGUUCGAAAAUAUGGGAAAUAUUGUUCAAAGACAACGUGUGCUUUGCAAUAAUUAACGAGUCAAACGUUUGAAUCAAAUGUCACCUGAAAUUGAAACACUUGACCAGACAUUAUGGAAAACGGAUACUCUGCUAAUGGGUGAUACUAAAAACAAUUAGAGGCCCUAAUACUUUGAACUUUGUAGCACCCCAAUUUGGUCGGAGACUAAACAACCCAUCGACUGGUGACCAAGAAAACAUCUAAGAUCAAUUUCAGCAUCUUAGAAUUAGGUAGCUAAACAGGUUAGACUUCAACUCUUGAAUCCACCCAAAUACCAAAAUCCUCAUUCCAGAACGACUUUCAUUUUAUUUUUUUAAAUGUAUAAAGAAAAUGUUUUCCAUCUAAGUGGAGCAGGCAAGCAUUGACCAUCAACUUUUUUUAUGGCCAACCUUAGGCCAAACUAUGGCUUUCGAAACUCAAGGAUAACAGAUCAGGCCCCUCUACCUUUCUCCACUUAAUUACCAGAUUAGUUCACUUGUAGCAAGGCUAAGUCAUAACUCCCUCAGCCUCUGUCGAUUGAACUAAGCAAUGGGGAGCAAGCAUUUGAGGGUGAAUUUACAAGCUACCAGGUAGAAAACGGCUCAUACCCAGCCCACGGCUCAAUGUCAGGUGGAUCACAAUUGCAUGUAUUAAAAGUGCUAACAUUGUCACAUUGUGCUUUCAGAUAUAAGACAUUAUGUUUCAAGUAGAAUGGUCCAGUGCGUAAUGACAAAAAUUGCAAUCAUGAACCUAUGAUAUAUGCGAAGAUGUUGGCAACGCCAUGCACAAAAUUAAAGGCAUCCAUCGGCAACUUAUCCCAACUCUUUUAGUAGGUUGGACUGCACUGGAAUGCAUGUUUAAUACUUCCCUGGAACUCCUAGUGCUAUCUAAAGCUUGCACGAAAAAAAAAGGAACUAGACCUACAUAGAAACUUCAGUUGAUGCAUGGAAAUAUACAAAUAGGUAUGCUUUCAAUACGACAAAGGGUUGAACUGCCCUGAGCUUCUCCUAGCCACAACAUAAACCUAUUCUUCAUAAUGCCUAAAACCAAAUAAUUGAAUGUUGAGAAAUAGUUACAUUUUAAUAAAUACAAAUAAACAUUAUUUUCAUAUACAUCACAGAAAUAACUGUCUAGUGCACUUGUCACUAGUUCUGCAUCAAAUGGUAACUAAAGAAGACUAUAACAUAUGCUUUUAUGGCUUUAAUCAAAUUAGAAAAUCAGAAAGAUGUAAAUUUGGUUUAUUUGGUAAAGUAGAACAUUAGUAAUCAACUAGUGAUAUCAAAAAAUUUAAAUACUUCAAAUGAAGAGAUGAUCUCUAUCAACAUAAAACUGUAAGGACUCUUAUAAGUUUCUCCUAUAGAAUUAUCAUUUUCAGGGCUUUCAAGAAUUCUGGAAUUUCCAACAUCAACCCAAAAAUAACUAGGAAAGCAAAUUGAAUUUAGAGCUUACAGCUUUGUACUUCCACGGAAAAGUUCACAGAAAACUCUCCAAAAUGUUUGGUACAGCAGGUUUUCCAGCUAAUACGUAAUGCAUCCUUAAGUACCUAUGGAAGAUAAUAAUAGUGAUCAGGCCUGUAUUGAAUAGAAACCCAGUAUGUAUAGUAAGCUCAUUAAAUCUAAUUAAAUCCUCUUCUUGUUCAGACAUAUUUUCCCGGCCCCUCAAUCAGCUGCUAAUAGAAAGGAUAAAGAAAAACGAAAUUAAACCACAAAGAGGGUGAUGUUGCUAGAAGCAGUAUGAGUUAUGACAGAAGUGAAUCUCAUGAAUCUUAAGUUACUAAUGAUUGUCGAAUAUCACUCGAUGAAGACCACACUAGUAUUAGUUCGAAUAAAACAAUGACCUGCUGAUGAAAAACUUUCAAGAAUACAAACAGUCACAGUUUCACAGACUAUAAGCUACUCAGACAACUAAUGAUCCACAUUAACAGAUACAUGGUUAAAAGAUGGAUUGUCACUUCUUGCAUCUCAUCAAUUUCUUAAACGCACCCGAGUUGUUUCAUCUACCUUCAUUCAAAAAUGAAACUUGAAUUUUUAUAGAAUCAAAAUAGAAAUGAUUUUCUAAUUUGAUCAUUUCUUAGAUUCUGGUGAAUUGGAUUGAAUCCAUUUUCAAUUUUAAAGCAAACAGUUGACAUAAACCCAAGUGUUUUGUAUUGAUAUUUUUUAUAAGACAACUCUGGUGUCUAAGCAAGCUUUCGCGCACCUCAACUAAUUCCACGGGACACCCACCACCUCCCACCAACAAUAGGUACCAGUAACUAUGUUCAUCAAAGCUAGGACAGAUGGGAAGUAAUCGCCUAGUGGGUUUUUUUGUCUUUGCUGGAAUUUGAACCGCAGACCUCAUGGUUCAUAAUCCACUUCAUUGACCACUAGAUCACACCCUUAGGUGCUUCUGCAUUUUCCAAAAAAAAUAAAAUAGAGCAAAUACAUACAAUGACUCUAUCCUAAAGAAUUCCUAUAAGAAUAAAAAAACUUCAGAUCAAUCAACUGUCUAGAAAGGAGAAUUUUCAGAGAAAACAUUCUUCAUUUUGUUACAAAGAGAGAGAAACUUUUUCAUGUACUUCAAUCAGAGAUUUUCAUUUUCUAUACCAUCAGCUGAUUUUCCCUCUCUGUCAAGGGUUUCUCACUGUCACUCAGUUCUUUUUUCUUCCCUUCAAAGUAAGCUAGUAAGAAAUCCUACUCCAAUCUCUCCAAGAUACUUCCAAUCCUCUAUGGGGGUAUCAUCUGAACAACAGGCUUUUCUAAUCCCAUUAUUCUCCAUUUUACAUUUGCCAGUCCAAUUCUGUGAGUGUUGCUAAAGUUUCUAUCUCGGACUGAUGUUUGGAGAUCUAAAACCGGUGGUUCAAGUUGAACAAUUGAUCAAUAUAGCUUCCCCAUCUCACCUUGAUCUCAUUAUCUCCCAUCAACGGUGGUUGAGAACUUAGUUGCACGGACUCUCCAUUUUUGUUGCCGCACCCGUCUCGGAUUCUCCAAAAAUACACUACUUUUGGCGAAUCCGACACGCACCCGUUGACAUUUUUGAAGAGUCCGAGCAACAUAGGUUGAGAAUUGUCUUUAACACACUUCACCUGAUUUAAGUCCUUACAUCUCUUCUCCCUCAGGCGUGCUAAUUUUAACCUUUCUUUCUACCCUACUGGUGUCCCCAAUUUUUUGUAUAAACAUCAAGUGCUUCCCAUCAAAAUUGACUAAUAGCCUUCUUAGCUUCCUUCUCACUUCUCUCUUGUACUCUUCAAAGGCUUCUCCAUCUUGUGUUUUAUAAUUAUAGAUCUGAAAAUCCUAGGAUGUUCGGAAUUAGGCAUUUGGGUUCUAUGUGGGAUGAUGAUCCAUACUCACCUGGACAACUCAUCCUUGCACUAUAGCUAGUAUUUUGACUAUUGACGUAAACUUAUAGGCCUAAAGUGUCAUGUCUUUGGGUGCAUCAGUGAGUUGCUACUGCAAAAAUGUAUGAUUAGUUUAGAUGGAAUAAAAAUUUAAGUGAAAGACAGAAUACUUUAUGAGAAGUUAAAAUUACCAUGGGGAUCAUUAGUUAGUGCCAGUGUUGAACCCAUUUAUACCUUAAAUUAUGUUCAAGUCCUGCCUGAACUACCCAGUAAACAAUUGCUAAAGUAUAUAAACAUCUUUCUUGGACCUGCUACCACAUUUGCAUUUAACAUCAAAAUCCGAAUGAAAUGCUACAUUCUAGCACUGAAUAUCCAUAUACAAAGCAAGAUCUCCAAAUUCUGCCUCAGCUCCUAGUCCGAACUCAUUACAGUACUAAAACUAAAAGACAUUUAAUACUAUAUUUCCACUACAUAAAUUCAAUCCUAUAAUACAUAAUAUUCAAAACAGUAAAAUCCAGUGACUGGGGAAAGAGAACAUACUGACAUUACUCUUAGACUCUCACACUAGAGUAACUAGUCGAGUGUAUGUGAAAAUACCUACAAAAGUUCAAUACCAUUUGACCAAAAAAGUUCAACACCACUAACAUGUGCACUUUCGCACCAUAAUAUGUGUAAAGCGCAUCUAAUAUACUAAUACCUUGAAGUCAUGUAGUUUUACAAUGAAAUGCAUCAUGUUAUGGUUAUGAGAAACAUUAGGGCCGUCUUAUAUUCAGUGGUAUUACAUGAUGGUUAGGUCAAUGUAUUUAGUGAUUCAAAAGAGAAGAGAAGACAAGUUGUUCCUCAUUAGUAGAAUAGUGAAGGAAAGAAGUGUUUUUAAGCACUUCUAAUACCACUUGAAAUAAAAUACUGAAGAGAGAUUUGGAGAAAUCAAAUUUAAUAUAUCUGGUAAGAUAUAUUAUAUUCUACCAAUGAGGGACAUCUUGUCUUAUCUUUUCUUCCCAAUCACUAACUACACUAAAAAUCAUCCAUUCAAUGAUUGGUGUAAUAUAUAAUUUAUGCAUAUAGUAAGUGUCUUUCGACUUGAACCUAAUUACUUGUAUAAGCUUUUUAAGAGCCUGUCAAAAUUGAUGGUAAGAUAAUUUUCUACUAAUCCAUCAUUCCUUUACUGACAAGACAAAAAGUUCUAUACACAAAUCAUGACAACAUAUGUGCACCAUGAGCUUUGCACUAAUGAGCCAAAAAGUACGCUUAUUUGACCUGUUUUAAGCCCAUCCAAACACACUCUAUAAUAUGGUGUUCUACUACCUCCCUAAAUUCAUACACUUGCAAAUUUUGUCUUCCAAAUUUUGAUUAAUUUGGUGAAGACUUAAUCAACCUUAACUUGACUUGGUUAGUUCUUAAUCAGAUUUAUGUUUCUAAGUAAAUAGAAACUUUGUACUUAGUACUCAUCCUUUCAUUCUUUCAAGUACUAUAAUUUCCCAGUACUUACAAACAGUCACAACUAUGUUCUUAACCAAUUUAAUUUUUUUUUUGAGAAUGAAUGUUCUUAACCAAUUUAUUUAAAGCACAAAUGGAGUAUUAUAUCUUUAGCACCCAUAUAAUUGAACUUGGAAAUACCUCGUUAAUGAAGUGAGAUUGAUAUAAGCAAACACUUCCGUUCUUUUAAGUACUAUAAUUUCCCAGUACUUACAAACUGUCACAACCAUGUUCUUAACCAAUUUAUUAAAAACACAAAUGGAGUAUUAUAUCUUUAACACCCAUAUGUAAUUGAACUUGGAAAUACCUUGUUAAUGAAGUGAGAUUGACAUGAGCAAAACAACAAGUAGAUUAUAGAUUCUAAGUUUGAUACCUAAGAUAGUUUGAUACUUUUUAUCUUUUUUACUUCUUAGUUCAUCAAUGCUUAGUUCCUAGUUAGCAUGUCAUCAACCUAAAGACAUACUAUCACUCUACAACCCUUACUUUGAUUAAAUGAAUUUAUCAACUCCAUUAUGUCUAAAACUACUUGAUAAUAUAAGGGGGCAUUUGGCCAUGAAAAUUGUGAGCAGUUGAAAAAAGUAGUUUUUGUUUUCAAAGUGAAAAAAUGAUAUUUGAAAAUUGGAGUUGUAUUUAACUAUGAACACAAAUUGGAGUUAUUUUUGAAUUUGUGUGAUUAUUUGAAGUGAAAAUAGCUUUAUAGUGUUUUUCAAAUUCCUAAAAAUUUCGGUAUACAAAUCCAAGUUCUUAGUCCGUGUAUACAACUUUAUUUUAAUACAAUUUCAAGUUCAAACGAAUCCCUGAAUACAACUUAGAGGUAGAGAGGUUGUUUUCGAUAGACCCUCAUCUCAAUAAAAAACAAUUAUGGCAAAACACAAUAGACAACCUGAUAAAUCAUCCUAAACAGCAGCCAUGUGAAAAUAAAACUAUAAUCAAAUGGUAAAAAACUCACAGAUAAUAACCAAACUCAAAGGACAAUAAACUACAUGAGUAAUACUAUAACUAAUAGCACAGCUAAUAGUAUAGGAGAAUAAGCAAAACAAUGCUCAACUGUGUACCUAAACUCCUACCCUAAUGAAUAUCCUCCAUAACCUCCUAUCUAAUCUCUUAUCUAAGGUCAUGACUUCAAUAAGCUAAAGUUGCCUAAUUUCUUGUCUAAUCAACUCUCCAAAAUACUUAUUUGGUCUACCUCUACCUCUCAUGAAAUUCUUUCUAGCCAACCUCUCACAACUUCGCACUGGGACAUCCAUUCCUCUCCAUUGCACAUGCACGAACCAUCUCAACUUUGUUUUCCACAUCUUGUCGUCAAUCGAGGUCACGCCUAACUUGUCCCAAAUAUCUUAAUUCCUAAUCUUGUUUACAUCCAUCGCAGCAUUUUCAUCUCCUCAACGUUCAUCUUCAUGAAAAUUCUUGAUUAGUCAAUACUCCAUUCCUACAACAUAGCAUGUCUAACCACAGCAUUCUCUAUUUCAAUUCCAAAAUCAACCUUAAAGCUUAAGUGGAAGUGAUCUUCUAAGAGAUAGAAUUGGGAAAUUAUAUAAGGAGAACAGAACUCAAAAUGUUUUGAUCCUCCUGAAUAACUACUUUGCAAAAAUGCGACUUUUAUCAGCAUUAGGUGCGGAAAUUAGGACUCACAAUUGAAAACUACCGAUCAGGGCAAGUGCGACAGAAAAAGGUACCCUGAGACAACUGGCAACAAGUGCGCGCCUCCAUUUGAAUGUGUGAUGUCAGACGGGUGGCCGCCACAGCGCUGUGAAGCGGUAAGAGCGAUUGGACGCAUCCCAGUACUCCGUUAGUCCUGAAAGAAAUACAUUUAACAAAUUUAAAAAGUCAGGUUUAGCCUAAAUUAAGUGAAAUAUAUAGGAGAAACCGAGAUAGGGAAAGGAACCUGGUGAGAAUGGUGGAAAGAGAACGGCGAGACUGAAGGCGCUGGCCGAGAAGAGAUUGUACACUUGCAGAGGAACCUACUGUUGAUGGUCUACUGCUGGAUAGAAGUGUCCGAGAAAACGACAUGCAACGCCUCGCCAUGAUUUUUGCUUCACUACUACUGUAUCCCACUGGGAACGAUGAGAUUCAGAUUUCAGGGUUUAAGGGACGUGACGAGCUUACAAAAUCUCGGUUCGGGCUGUGGGCCUGUUAAGAAAAGGGCACGUACUUAGAAUUUGGGCUUCUUACGAAAGAAGGUGAAGCAAGCGAAAGAUCAUGAAAAUUUAAGAGGAAGUGAGAAAAUUAAAUUAGAAAAUUUUCUAGCAUUUGAAUUAAUUACAAAAAUUUAUUUUUCUUUCUCUCUUAACAUCUGAAUACAUCACUCCAUUUCUAUCGAAUACAUUACAACUUUGUUUGUAUACAAUGUAUCUGAUACAAAUGUUAUUAUUGAUACAUAACCCCAAUUAUUUAAAAGCUAAAUCACUAUGUAUCUAUACAUAACUCAUGUAGCAUUUGUUAUGUAUCAAGCGAAGGAGCAAUGUAUUGAGUUAUGAAAAAUUCAAAAUUAUUAUAAAUUGGAAAACUUUCAAGAUAGGAUAUAACUAACACUCAAAUUACUGAGGUUUCUAUACUUUAUAUACAAUUAAUAUAGCAACUUAACUUUACCACUCCUUCUAUUUGAAAUUAUGAUAUUCCUUUAAUUUGCUUGAGAAGUAAGAAUCCAUAUCUAAAAUCAUAUAAAAGUAUUAUCAAUUACAAUUGUUAUGAUUAUAAAAUUUAAAAAAAUAUUGAAAAGAUUCUUCUCUGUAAAAUGAGAAAAAAAAGUGUAUAUGUUUGUUAUAUACCUUGCGCUAACAAGUAUGGAUUUUAUCAGCUAGAGUAAACACACAUCAAAUAUCAUCUAAUGUCGAUAUUUUUCAUUCACCAACCAAACAUUAAAAAAUAUUUUUUACUUACCAACCAAACAUAAGAAAAUAAAUGAGAAAUCUACUUGUUUUCCUAGAAAACAUUUUUAAUCGUACCAAACACACCCUAGAUGAUGAUGAUGAUGAAAUAAUUAGUGCGUAAAUAAUAAAUAUACUCUGAAUGCUUUCGUUAUCAAACAUAGCGAUGGGUCACGACAAGAUCCAUAACCUGUCCCUCUUGCCAGUUAACACUUGGCCCAUGUCAUGUGUAAAUGAGCCAAUCAAACCAAUUACUCUACUACUUAAAAAUAGUCUAAUAUAGCUUCCAAAUUUAUAUGAGUUUCAAUUAUGUCUCAUGUAUAUCUCCCUUACAUGGCACAAAUUCACUAUUUUGUCUUUCAGAUUGAUUCUUUUUAUUUGUACAGCUCUAUUUUCUUACAAUAAAUCUUUGCUAAUACAUUAAAAUGGAGUGAUACACGAGUCUUCUUUCAUGAUAAUAAAAAAUAAUGAGUAAUUCAUACGUUAAAGUCUACUUCUACUUUUGUCUUUUGUUAUUAAAGUUUGUAUUUAUAUUCGUAAUCAAGUUAAACUGACAAGUUUAUUCCAUUGAUGGAAGAUUAACUUUUAAGUCCUUCAAUAUUCAAAUUCAAUUUAUCAAGUUCAAACUCUUGAAUCGAAAUUUAAAAGAAAAAAACUAAAGAAAACUUUCUUAAGAUUUAAAUUAUUGUUAAAAUUACAACUCUUAGUAGGAAAAAUUAUGUACAUUAUUGUGACUUUGUUUAUCAAGGACUACUCACUACAAGACAAGGCUAUAUCUAAUCCAACCUAACGAAGCCAUGAAGUUGAAACUUAAUAAACAAGUCAAUUUUCUCAAUAUUUGAAAAUUGAAAAACUUGUUCAAGAUCAGUAUUUCAAAGGAAAUAAUGAUUGUUAUUAAUAACACCUUGAUUUUUACUAAAUAAAAUUAUUUACAUAAUUUAAACUUUGACAUAUUUUGUUUAAAUCUUCAACUUUAAAUAUUUAUGUUUUUUUUCCUUUAACCAAAUAGCAUCAAAUCGGCUACUUAUCUUUCACGGCUUGAAGGAAUAUUUUUAACACAAUGUGGUAACUUCAAUCAAAAUAUAUAUAGAAAACGUUUUUUCUUUUGGUAAAGAAUUUUGCAGCUGCUAUUAUUCAGAUGCGCACAAGGUAAACUUCGCUUCAAUAUAAUAGCCUGCAAAUCACAAAAAAAGAAAGAUAAAUCGUACUAAGCAACCCUCAUGUGAUAAGCUUGACCAAAAUAAUAUAUAGAAGAUUCCAAACCUAAAACUCUCAUUUGAGAGAUCACUUACACAACCGGUCACAUAUUUACAUAUUUGUUUCUUAAAAAGUUUGUAUAUACUCACUUGAACAUUUAAGUGUAACUUAAUUCUCGCAUAAAGAGUCAUAGAUAAUGUCAACGUCAUGCCAUUGUACUAAAAACUCAGCAGGUCGCCAAUCUCUAUCUAAUGAAAUGCUUUAGUCAAACGAGUGUAACAACAGAUUGAUCUUUAUUUGUUCUUUGAAUUUGUCUUAAUUCCAUCAAAAGAGUAGUAGUUGAUAAAUCUUUUUUUUGUGACAAAGCGUUGCAAAUUAGCGGGUGUGGGUGGCGUUCGGUAUUCAAUUUGAGAUAUUCAAAUUUUGGGCUUAGUAAUUCAGUAAUUAGUAGUUAAAAGUAGAUCUCGAAUAUUAAAAUUUUACAUGGGGUAAACAACACAAAUUUCACUAAUUUAGGAGCUAAUUACAUUUUUUUUCGUGAGUGCAAUAUUACUAAUCCUACCAUGAUUCGCACAUUGGAUACAUAUAACUCAUAUAUAUAUGUUAAUUAGGUAUAUAUAAUUAAAUAAAUUUAAAUAAGGAAUGUAACUGGAAGACAUAAAUUAAGGAGAAAAUCAUGUGUUUAAAAACUUCAGAAAAUUUCAAAAAAUCAUUUUUAUGUGUAUUUGAUAUGUUCAUUUUAUGUAUCUAAAUUGUUUUUCUGUGUAUCUGAUAUAUAGUUAAGGAUUAAAUGUAUCUAAUUUGUUCAUUCUAUAUAUCUGAACUAUUCUUCUACGAAUCUGAUAUAGUUUCUUUUGUGUAUCUCUCGUACUUCGUACUUUUGCUUUUGUUCACGAUUGUGUAUCAUAAUAAUGUAUGUCUAGUUAGAUAGUUUUUUUUUCCUUUCAAAUUUUGAUUUGGUAGUGUAUUCAGUAAUACCGUAUUGAAGUUGUAACCGAUUGUAUUAUUACAAAGUUAAUACUAUUUCUUAAAUUAUUUAUAUUUUUUUAUGUGGAGGAACAUAUAUUAGAAGUUCGACAAGUAAGAAGACAUCCAUAGAGGCGAAUUGAUACAACUAAAAGACAUAUAUUUUGGGUUGUUUUAAGUUUAUUCUUUAACUUUCUCUUUGGACUUGCACUAAUGAGUAAUUGACAUGUUGAUACAUAACAUUUAUAAGUAAAUAAUUUGGUAUUCAGGAAAUACUGAUUACAAAAUGUUACUAAUGUCUCAUACCAAAUCCAAAUACCAUAAUUCUAAAAAAAUUCUCCCAAAUAUCAAAUUACUAAAAAAAUCAAUUUGAUUUUCGUUAUUUUAUGCCCUGUAAAACAUUUGUAGUAAUUUUUUAUUUUUAAAUAUUACUUGACAAUUAUGUUCUCGCCUUCCUUUAUAGUCGUUACUAGAAAGCGAGCUAAGAAAUUAUAUUAAUUUCAUAAGUUGUUGUAUAAUUGUUAAAAAUUAAAUUAGAUCAAAUAUGUCAUUAAUGGACGUGUGUAUUUUCAAAUACGUUCUUAUUAGUCUUUUAAUUAUGUUUGACUAAGUUAUGUGUGAAGUAAAGAUAAUUUUAGAGUUUGUUGCUUGUAAGUCAAAAAUUAUAAAUUAAAAUUAUUAAUUUAUGAUUUUUGAUUUAGUUUUAUUUUUUUAACUUUAAAAUAAGUGUUUAAAAAUGUUUUUUUAUUAAAUAUUCAAUAAAAAUAAUAAUUACUCAUUUUGUUAAAUAUGAAUAGGUCACAAACUCACAAUUACUCAAGAGUAAUACUCCCUCUGUCCCUAAUUACUUGUCCACUUUUGAAUUAGCACACUUAUUAAAAAAAUAAUUAAUGACAUAGUGAGUUUACCAUUUUAUCCCUAUUAAUUAUGAAGUGGAUGAAAUUUUUUUAUAUUUUUUAAAAUAAUUAGUCAUUUAAUUGAGGAUAUAAUAGGUAAAAAGAAUUCGUACUUUCUUUAUUUAUCAAAAUUGAUAAGUAAUUAGAAACAACUAUAAAAGAAUAAAUAGACAAAUAAUUAGGGACAAUGGGAGUAUUGAUAGUUUCUCUAUUAAAAAAAGAAUAGCCGACAAGCAUUACUUUCUCAAGCCUUAGAACAUGCAUCGCAUUUAUUGACUUUGUAUAAAAUAAAGUUGAAGUUACAAUUAAUUUUCUAGUAUAAAGACGCGACACGUAGAUUUUAGUCGCAUUGGAAUUUUAAACCGUAACGAAUUGCCUACCAUUCCACCAAAGCGGGGCACACUCGCGCCUUAAUUUGUGGCAGUUACCCCGGCGUCUAAAUUGACCCUCUUCCUUUUUCUACGCUCUCAACUUAUCAAACAAAAUUAUCAAAAAAAAACUUGUCAAACAAAACACAUAAUAAAUUACCACAAUUGGCACACUGUUAAAUGGUAAGAAAUCCUUCAUUAAAGAAUCUUUAUUUCCUCAAUUGGAAAUAAUACUAUAAGGAAUUUGAUGAGAAUUUUCCGUGUAUUAAUUGAACCAUCAACGAAUUAAAAUUCAAUAAUUGCAUCUAAGUUAAAGGAUGACAAAUUGACAAUCAUAUUAAAGAUGGUAGGUGUACCUUCACUACAUUAUUUAUUCUGUCCCUUUUCAGAAUGCUCGGAGGGUAAGGGUAAUUGCAAGCUCAAAUCAUUUGCUUUCUUAAAAGAAAAAAAGCAAGAAGAUUGUACUAACUCCUAUUUCACAGGGCCUCCGUUGAAGUCUUUGAUUUGGUAGAUGAUAAAGUUAGAUCCGAAUGACUAAUAAAUCCCUAAACUUUGUCGUAUAUUAGCUCUAUAUUCUUUGCGUGAUUACUCAUGGAUCUACUUUCCUAUUUAUAUUAUGGAAUCAAUAAUUUUGUAUUGAUUUCUAAAAUUGUUGAAUCAAUAAAUGUUAUGCCCAUAAUGUCAGGAGUAGUAAAAGCUGGAUGUGUCGGUGGUAAUAGUAAAUAAACAACCUAACUUUUUUUAUUUUACCCUCAAACUUCAGUUACACCAAGCGAGGCAACCACUCUGCUAAACAAGAAUUUUCUAUACUUAUACUCUGUUCUCUGCAAUUCUUCCAAUUACUUGUUUCGGUCCAUUUUUCAUCAAAUGCUUCCACCUUACUCCGACGAGUCGCCGGACGCCGAUGAAGCCAUGCGCAAGCCUCCUAAAGCCAACCAUAAUGAUUUUCUAAGGAAUGCUGUGAGUAAUUUCCAGUAUCAGAUUUCUACUCAUCCUCGUUUCUGGCUUUUUACCUUCUUCCUUUUUUUCCAACUUGUGGUGCUUAUCUUUACUCGCAAUUCCCCUUUCCCUUUCUCAGUUCACUCCCCACCCAGUCCUCUUCCCCAAUUCCCUUCAGAAAUCGCUGUAUUUCCCGAUAUACAGACAGCCCAUCACGAUGCAAAUGUAAUUUAUCCCUUCGGCGAUUCUGAAUGCGAGUAUGGUCGGGUCUAUGUCUAUAAUUUACCAUCCAAAUUUAACAAAGAUUUAGCCUUGUUGACCUGCGACGAUCUAGACCCAUGGAAGUGGCAGUGUGGUCUUGUGACCAAUGACGGAUAUGGAAAGAGAUCGACGGAGCUCGCCGGAAUCUUGCCGGGAAAUCUCUCCGCAGCGUGGUAUCGUACAAAUCAGUUCUCAUUGGAGGUAAUAUUUCAUUACCGGCUUUUAAACUAUAGAUGUAGAACCAACGACCCAGAAUCUGCUACAGCUUUCUACAUUCCGUUCUACGCCGGACAGGCUGUUGGAAAAUACCUUUGGACUGAUGAAAUCGAAAAUCGUGAUUUGCUUAGCAACAAAUUACUGAAAUGGGUUCAGAGGCAAAAGUAUUGGAAAAAAUACAAGGGUUUGGAUCAUUUCCUAACUCUUGGUCGGAUUACAUGGGAUUUCCGACGAUUAGGUGACCCGGAAAAACUCUGGGGAUCCUCUUUUCUCAAUCGGCCACAGAUGCAGAAUGUUACGCGAUUCACAAUCGAGAAGGCUCCAUGGGAUGCUAACGAUAUCGGUGUACCUUACCCUACCGGAUUCCACCCUCACUCCGAGAAAGAACUCCGGGAAUGGCAAAACUUUGUUCUUUCAUAUAACCGCAGCAGUCUUUUCACCUUCAUAGGGGCGGCGCGUGGGGAUAUCGAUAGUGAUUUCAGAUCGAGGUUAAUGAGUUACUGUAGGAACGAGUCAGACUCGUGCCGAGUCGUGGACUGUGCCGUGAUUCCCUGCUCCAAUGGUUCAUCAGAAAUCCAAAAGGCACUUCUGAGCUCAGACUUCUGUUUACAGCCUAAAGGGGACAGCUUGACUCGGCGGUCGGUUUUCGAUUGCAUGGUGGCCGGUUCAGUACCAGUUUUCUUCUGGAGGCGCACGGCUUACACUCAGUACCAGUGGUUUUUGCCGGAAGACCCGGGGAGUUAUUCUGUGUUUAUAGACCCUGAAGCAGUGAGAAACGGGACAGCUUCCAUUAAGGAAAUUUUGAAGAGUUACAGUAAAGAUCAAGUGAGGAAAAUGAGGGAAAAAGUUGUAGAGACAAUUCCAAGAAUAGUGUAUGCAAGGCCAAGUGGAGGUCUUGGGAGUGUCAAGGAUGCAUUUGAAAUUGCAAUUGAAGGAGUAUUGAAGAGGGUCAAGGACGAAAACGAAUGGAAGGAAUACGUGGAUAUGGGCAGUUGAAGAUGAUGUUGGGAGAUUUGAUUAAUGUUGUAAAGUAUAUAAAUCUUUCCCUUAAUAUUCAGCUAUACAUACUGUUAUAAAUACAGGGACAAGUUUGAAGCCAGACGGGUAAUUCUAUAUGGCUGGUGAUAUGAUUCUUGGUUUUCAGAAUCAGCUUAGGUUGCUGGAUGAUGGAGAGCUCGGAUUUUAUACAUGUAUUUCCAAAUAUUUUUAGAGAUUUGUGUUAAGAUCAGAGGAAAAAGUGAGGUCAAGUGUUGUUAUUUGCAGGUUAGAGUUAUAUAUUGAUCAGAUUUUGGCAAUUCUUGUUUCAGUUCCAUGUACUAAAAUAAGGUUUCAUAUAGAUCAACAUUUCUGCUUGUUACUUUCUACCUAAUGCAAACAAGUUGUUUGGUAAAUAGUUAGGAGCUAAUUUAUUUGCUGCAUUUUAUUCUUUUUCGCUGUUGCACUGAAUGUAAUGCUGUGCACUAUCUGCUUGCUUAGAGUGUGAUUAUAGCUUUGGUAUAACAUUUUAGACGGCAAAGAAGCUCUUUUCAAACAAAGUGUUUGGUUGCAAACUCAAGCAUGAGGUUUGUGCUCUGUUUUAAACCGUAGAACUGUUUGCAUUCUGGGGUGGAUCGUUCAAUGCCCUCUGUUUAUAUAAACAUUCUACACUUGAUAUGUAUAGACAUAAGAAGAUGUUUUAUUUGGGAACUUAAUUGAUAUUGUAAGCAUUUCUGCAAUGAUCAUUAGGUUCAAGGACUUGAUUGUAUUAGUAAAUGCUCCGCAACAUCCUUCUAGUGGAGAUGAACUCUUUGACCUCAAUAUUUUAGUAUGUGAUUACAUUCGUUAUGUUUGUACUUUUGACAAUUGUUAGGGAGAAUUAUGAAGAGCCGUAGAAGCACACUCAUGGUCAUUGUUUGGAUCAUGAUUGAAGAAAGAAAAAGAAUGCAAACAGAUGUUUGGAGGAGAGUUUGCUUUACUUGGUUAUCACUCCAAGGUGUAGAAAUCUUGGCGUGCAAGCUGCUAAAUACAGUAUGGUACCCGGAGAGAGCUUGGGGAUAUAUUAUGCUAAUAUCAACUAUCAAGCCUAGCAAUUUUUGACCCAGUUAUCAUUUUAUACUGUGGUGCAGAAUAAACUCUAUUUAUAAAGCUAAAAUAACCUAGACUUUGAUAGGCUAAUUAAAACAAGUUGGAGCAGCAUAAUAUUUAAAAACUCUGUUGACUCAACAACCCCAUCAUAUAUAAACCAAACAAGUGCAACAAAUUGAGAUAUGUCACAAGGCAAAACAUGGAAGCAACUUUGCUGCUCUCUAUAUGUUUACUAGUACUAACUCUGUAAUUUGUUUGUUUGAGACGAAGAAAACUCAAUCUCCCGCCAAGCCCCCUACUUAAACUUCCAAUUAUAGGGCAUCUUUAUCUCCUAAAACCUCCUCUAUAUCGCACUCUUGCUAAGCUCUCAACAAAAUAUGGCCCGGUUUUCUCUCCUCAAUUAGGUACCCGUCUUGUUGUGGCAGUUUCCUCGGCAUCUGCUGCCGAAGAAUGUUUCACCAAAAAUGAUAUCGUUUUUGCCAAUUGCCCUCGUUUAACUAUUAGCAAAUACAUAGGUUAUAACUGAUGAGAUUCAACAAUGGUGAAACAAGGUUAUGGAAUCACUGAUGAACUAGAGAGAAAACUGUAACUUUUAUUCAUGAAAAGUAAAUGUCUCUUUACACAAUAUUGGCACUAUGCUAUUUAUAGUGUGUCUACUCAUAACCUCCUAAUCUAGUUAAUCUAACUCAACCAGAGUUAACUUUAACUAACAUUGUAACAAACUCUAUAACUAACUUUCCAGUUUCACUAUUCAUAAUAACUGACUUCUAGCUUCAACUUGUUUAUAACAUCCCUCCUCAAGCUGGUGGCUGAUAUAUGUCUUUAAAUCCCAACUUGGACAUUAGAUACAAGUGUGAAGCUUUCCAUAGACCCUUUGUAAGUAAGUCUGCUAGCUGCUCUUUUGUGGAUACAUGGUGAGUUUUUAUCAUUCCGUUAAGCAGCUUCUCUCUAACAAAAUAACAGUCAAUAUCAAAGUGUUUAGUUCUCUCGUGAAAAAUAAGAUUGGAUGCAAUUUGUAUUGCAGCCUUGCUGACACAAAAUAGAUCAACUGGCUGCUUAAUUUUCACUCCUAGUUCACUAUAUAAGCCAAUGAGCCAAGUAAUCUCAGCUACUGAAGAUGCCAUACUUCUAAACUCUGCUUCUGCAGAACUUCUUGCUACAGUCUCUUGUUUCUUUGACUUCCAGGAUACAAGAGCGUCACCAAACCUCACUAAGUAUCCAGUAACUGACCUCCUUGUUUGCAAACAGGUACCCCAGUCUGAGUCACAAUAGACUGUUAACAACUCUGAACUCUGUGAAGGCAUGAACAGGCCCAAUCCAGGUGAUGACUUUAUAUACUUGACUACCCUUAGUGCAGCUUCCAUGUGGGAUUCUUUAGGAGCAUGCAUAUACUGACUUAACACUUGUACUGCAAACGAAAUAUCCACCCUGGUCAUUGUUAGGUAUAGUAAUCUACCUACAAGUCUUUGAUAUCUGCCAAUAUCUAGCAAAGGUUUGUCCUUAGCUGUAGUAUCUGUAUCUUGUACAUGUGAAUCAUACUCAAUAGAUGUUAAUCGUAUAUUAGGAUCCAGUGGUGUAUGGACUGGUUUGGCACCACUUAAUCCCAUUUCUGAGAUAAGUUCCAAAGCAUACUUGCGCUGGCUCAUGAUAUAUCCCUCCUUAGUUCUGGCAAAUUCAAUUCCAAGAAAGAACUUCAAUUCUCCUAGAUCCUUUGAGAUUCAACAAUGGUGAAACAAGGUUAUGGAAUCACUGAUGAACUAGAGAGAAAACUGUAACUUUUAUUCAUGAAAAGUGAAUGUAUCUGUACACAAUAUUGGCACUAUGCUAUUUAUAGUGUGUCUACUCAUAACCUCCUAAUCUAGUUAAUCUAACUCAACCAGAGUUAACUUUAACUAACAUUGUAACAAACUCUAUAACUAACUUUCCAGUUUCACUAUUCAUAAUAACUGACUUCUAGCUUCAACUUGUUUAUAACAUCCCUCCUCAAGCUGGUGGCUGAUAUAUGUCUUUAAAUCCCAACUUGGACAUUAGAUACAAGUGUGAAGCUUUCCAUAGACCCUUUGUAAGUAAGUCUGCUAGCUGCUCUUUUGUGGAUACAUGGUGAGUUUUUAUCAUUCCGUUAAGCAGCUUCUCUCUAACAAAAUAACAGUCAAUAUCAAAGUGUUUAGUUCUCUCGUGAAAAAUAAGAUUGGAUGCAAUUUGUAUUGCAGCCUUGCUGACACAAAAUAGAUCAACUGGCUGCUUAAUUUUCACUCCUAGUUCACUAUAUAAGCCAAUGAGCCAAGUAAUCUCAGCUACUGAAGAUGCCAUACUUCUAAACUCUGCUUCUGCAGAACUUCUUGCUACAGUCUCUUGUUUCUUUGACUUCCAGGAUACAAGAGCGUCACCAAACCUCACUAAGUAUCCAGUAACUGACCUCUUUGUUUGCAAACAGGUACCCCAGUCUGAGUCACAGUAGACUGUUAACAACUCUGAACUCUGUGAAGGCAUGAACAGGCCCAAUCCAGGUGAUGACUUUAUAUACUUGACUACCCUUAGUGCAGCUUCCAUGUGGGAUUCUUUAGGAGCAUGCAUAUACUGACUUAACACUUGUACUGCAAACGAAAUAUCCACUCUGGUCAUUGUUAGGUAUAGUAAUCUACCUACAAGUCUUUGAUAUCUGCCAAUAUCUAGCAAAGGUUUGUCCUUAGCUGUAGUAUCUGUAUCUUGUACAUGUGAAUCAUACUCAAUAGAUGUUAAUCGUAUAUUAGGAUCCAGUGGUGUAUGGACUGGUUUAGCACCACUUAAUCCUAUUUCUGAGAUAAGUUCCAAAGCAUAUUUGCGCUGGCUCAUGAUAUAUCCCUCCUUAGUUCUGGCAAAUUCAAUACCAAGAAAGAACUUCAAUUCUCCUAUAUCCUUCAUCUUGAACCUGAGUUUAAGAUCAUUUCUGGUCUUAACUAUCAACUUGCUGCAGCUCCCAGCCACUAACAGAUCAUCUACAUAUACAAGGACCACUAUUAACUCAUUUCCCUCUCUUCUAGUGAAUAGGGAAUAAUCAUAGUGACUCUGAAUAAAUCCCAGUUAUAGUAAUGUUUCAGUCAAUUUAAGGUUCCAUUGUCUAGGUGCCUGUUUCAAUCCAUAAAGUGACUUAUGCAAUUUGCAGACUUUGCCAGACUCCCCCUGUUUGCAAAAACCAUGAGGAAUAACCAUAUAAACAUCCUCAAUAAGAUCACCUUGAAGAAAGGCAUUGUGGACAUCCAUUUGGAAAACAGGCCAUUGCUUAGCAGCUGCUAUAGCCAGAACAGACCUCACUGUAACCAUCUUGGCUACAGGGGAAAAAGUAUCGGAGUAGUCCAACCCUUCCUGCUGGUGAAAACCCUUAGCAACUAACCUGGCCUUGUACCGCUCAAUAGCCCCUGAAGCCAAUUACUUCACUUUAUAAACCCACUUGCAUCCAAUGAGAUGUUUGCCUGGAGGUAAAUCAGUGAUACUCCAUGUAGUGUUCUCUUCUAAAGCAGUGAUCUCAACAAGCAUAACUUGAACCCAUAAAAGAUCAAGAGAAGCUUCAUGAAAGGACGUAGGUUCUGAAAUACUAGAAUAGGCUGCUAAGGCAGCACCAUACUUAGCAGACAGACAAUGAUAGCUGACAUGAUUGGAUAAAGGGUAGAGACAAGAGGAUUUGGGUUUGGAAAGAAGAAAGUCAUGAUGCCAGAUAGGAGGUCUAGAUGGUCUAGAGGAUCUUCUGAGAGAUAGGGUGGUAUAAGGUAGAACAACUGUAGGAACAACCUCAGAAGAAGUAGAACUAGGAGACACUGGGUGUGAUGGACAAUCAGGAGAAGAAGCAAGAGGUGUAUGUGAUGAACAAUCAGGAGGAGCAGCUGUAGGUGGAUACUCAACUGGAGAAGAAGAAUUAAUAGAAGUUGAAGUAAGCUGAACAAUUGGAAACAAUGGAGAGCAAGCUGAGGUGUUGUGCUGGAAAGAAAAAACUUCCUCGUGGAAGACUACAUCCCUGCUGACUAAGAACUCUUUAGUGUGCAAGGAGAAGAGUUUGUAACCCUUUUAGAGAGUAGAGUAACCAAGAAAAACAGUAGGAAAUGCUCUAGGUGCAAAUUUGUCAGUUUUCCUCACUUCAGAAGCAAAAGCCAGACAACCAAAGACUCUGAGUGAGAGAAGGAGAGGUGUGAUACAAUAAGUCAUAAUGAGUCUUUCCCUGAAGGACAGCAGAAGGUAACAUGUUGAUUAAGUAGACACUAGUGGUAACACACUCACCCCAGAACCUAAGAGGCAUAUGAGACUGAAACCUUAAUGACAUAGCAACAUCAAGGAUAUGUCUAUGUUUCCUCUCUACAACACCAUUUUGUUGAGGUGUGUAGAUGCAGGAACUUUGGUGCAGGAUGCCGAGGGAUUGGAGUAACUCAUUCAUUUGUGAAUUAAAGAAUUCACACCCAUUGUCAGACCUCAGAAUCUUUACUGAUGCACUAAACACAUUGCCAAUCAUUAACAAGAACUUUCUUAAGGCUACUAUGACCUUAGAUUUAGAGUUCAGUAAUAUCAACCAUGUGUAUCUGGAGUAAUCAUCAACCAAAGUUAAAAAAUACCUUUUACCAUCAUGAGUUGGAACUCUAUAAGGACCCCAAACAUCAGUAUGUAAUGUGUGAAAACAAGUAGUAGUAGUAGUAUUACUCAAAGGGAAAAACAGUCUAGAUUGUUUAGCCAAAUGGCACACAGUACAAAGAUCAUCUGUAGUAGAAUGAAGAUGUUUGAAACAACCUAACUUUUUUAGAGUAGUAAAAGGUACAUGACCAAGUCUUUUAUGCCAUACUGACAAAUUUUAUUCUAGAAGGACAUGCGAAAAGCUACAGAACAAGACGUAAAGACUGGAGUGACUUGAUCAUGAUGUGAGACUGCAUGUAGUUGAGAUCCUUAUGACUGCAACUGACAGUCAGUAGUGAGCACAUACAUGUCAUUCUCCAACUUGCCAAUCCCCCUCACUCUCCCAUUGAAGAGGUCCUAAAAAAUGCAAAAGUCAGGGUUGAACAGAACAGUACAGUUCAAUUCCUUUGUGAGUUUAGACACAGAAAGUAAGUUAUACUGAAACUUAGGAAUAUGCAGGACAUUCGUAAUCUCAAUUCCUCCUAGAAUUUGAGAUGAUCCAAUGUGACUGACUGUGGCAAGUUUACCAGUAGGUAGAUACACUCUUCCCUCUUGUGAAGGAGUUAAUGGUUUGUAAUGAGAUAACAUGUGCAGAUUACGAACCAUGUGUUUGGAGGCACCAGAAUCAACUAUCCACUUAUCAGUAGAGGAUAUACAUGUGGUUCUCAGAGUUGAAUCUGUGUCAUUACAUAUCCUCUUCUUACCCUUCCAGUCAGAGGGAUAUACAUGAAGCUUAUAGCAACGAUCUUUUGUAUGGCCUUUCCAGUUACAAUAAUCACAGUACAGGUGACUAUUGGAGUUGUUCUUAGAUCUGAAGUUGGAGACACCAGCACUUGAUCCACUGGAACUAGAGAAGUUGUGAUUUGGAUUGUUGCCACUGAAGAAUGCUAGAGCUUCAUUCAUGUGCCUAGUGUUAGAGGAAGCAUCACCAACAGAAGCUGAAUUAGCCUUGCCAAGUAUCCUCUGACUUUCUUCUGCAAUCACUAGAGAAUAAGCCUUGUUAACACUUGGAGCUGGAUCUAUCAUCAUAAUCUGGCUCCUACACUGGUUGUAGGAUUCAUUCAAACCCAGAAGAAAUUGCAUUAAACGUUGGUGUUACGACUUGAUUUCGAAAACUAAGGUUUCGGAACCAAUUUCGCAAUUUUUGGCAAUUUUUGUUAAGUUUUGGAAAAAUUUAUAAUUUGGAAGUCGCCACUUAUUUUUUUAGGAAAAAUUAAGAAAACCGUUUAAAGAGAAUUUUUUUUUGAAAGGAAAUAUUUUAAAUAAAACCAGAGUCAGGUAAGGGUUCAAAUAAUUCUCUAAGGAAGGGGUUAGGCAUUUUAGAGAAUCCGCUAACACGCGGUUGACCGACAGAUUUAAAAGUUUGGCUAAUUUUAAAUGAAAACUUAAAUUACUCAUAAAAAAUCUUUGUGAGAAUAAAUAGAGACUAAUUUAUACUUAACAAAUAAUGAAAUAUAUAAAAAAAAAAUGGUUAAAGUGUCGAAAAUGUUUUUAACUUGAUAAUUUAUCCGAGUUAAAGAUUUUAAACCAAAGAGUUAGUUCAAAUUCAUUAACGUGGAUUCAAAGCUUCUUAAUAACUAUGAAAGAACAUGAAUGGUUCUUAAGUUAUUCUUUAAGCUUAAGUUGCCUAAGAACAAACUGUGUUGAUAAAUAAUUAGGCAAACCAACCUUUCGAAAUGAAAAUUAAUAAGUAACGCCGACUCUUGUGAGGAUUCAUCCAAGGUAAUAAGAAGUUAAUAAAAAGGGUUAGACAUCAUAAUAACAAGGAAAGCAAGCAAGUAAUACAAAGAAAGGUCUGGACUUUUGGUCCAAAUUCGGCCGCUGCCUCAUUUUCUUCUCUGUUGCAUCUAUGUUUUCGGACUUUUGAGUCCAUAAAUUCUUCUUUGUAUCGCUGCUGUUGCAAGUUCAAAUUGGACUUUUUAAGUCCAAAAUUCCACCUUCUUAGCCCCUUUAGCUGCUGCUUCUGAUUUUUGGGUUUUAACCCAAUUUCGCUCCUCAUUUUUCGGCCUUUCUAAGCUGCUGGUGCUGCUGAUUUUCAGGCAGCUUUAACCCAAUGUAUUUACUUCUCUCUCAACUUGAUAGAGGUUGACUCGAAAAGAAGAAUAUGCAAGAGAUGGGGAGUCCAAGUGGACUCAAUGGAAGAGAAUUCAUGCGAAGAAAACGAAGAAAAAGAAUUAGUAAUUGAUCAAGAAGAGGGCUGAUUCUAAUUUGACAUAUAAACGAAACUCAAGCAACAUUUAAUAAUGCAACUUAAAUCUGCCCAAUAAAAGAAAGAAACAACCAGGGACAAAGAGUGCAACUUUCCAUCGUAAAGCAAUUCCUCAUAUGCAAAACAGAAGUCACCGUAAUCACAAUUGAAUGUAAGCAAAAAUUUGGUCAACAGCUAAGUGGAACAAAUACACAUUCAUAAGCUUCCUAAAAAAAUCAGAAAUAACAACAAAUAGAUUUAAAAAAAAAAGAACAGUCAAUUAUAAUAGCAACUAAUCUCCUGGAAAUAGAUUUGGACAUCAAAAUGAGUAAGAGAAACUUAAAACUAACUAAAGGCCAAAGAGCUGCAGGUUAGAUCAACUUAACAGACCAAACACUAAGCUAGUUAUGCAUAUAAGUGCACCAGAAAUAAAAUAAAAUAAAAAUAAAAAAUAAUCCUCAGAGUAUAAACAAAUCGGCUAAUUAAUCUACUGUACAAUGAGUAUUACAGACAAUUAGCAAUGCAAACCAAAGGAUCCCAACAACUUCCAAAUUCCAAGAAGCAAACAAACAAUGGAAUACUAUCUAAACCUAAACAAAACGAGGCGCAAAAGAAACUAAGGCAUGCUGGAAAAUUACGAUGCAUAAAUCACCAUAUAAUAAAAUUGGCGAUAUUCGAAAUUACGAGAGACAAACCGAAAAAAUGCAAAACCCGAAAAUAGCAUACUCAUCCGCUGUCCAAACUAGGAUAAAAAUUACGCAAAACUAAACAUGAAUUCUAAACUAAAACUAACUUACUAUUACCAUUAGCAACAUACACUUUGAAAACCUCAAAAGAAAAGAUGGAGAAUGUCAUCUUCAUGUCGAUUAAACACAGACUUAAAGAGAAGAACAUUUAAAGUAAAUGGGCAGCCAACUCAUGCUAGUAGGAAGCUCCCUUUUACGCUCAUGGCCAAACCGAUUGAAUUAACUAGGAUGAACAAAAGAAUCCAAGCAGAACGUAGUCAUCAAAUACUACUAAACGAGUGUAACAUCUUCAUACUACGAGGUUAUCCCAAAACAACCGAGCAAUAUUGAACUAAAAUUACUGAUCUAUACUUGAAAAUACACUAGAGAAAUAACGAAGUGGCUUCUUUGACACUUCAGAACAUAUACUCAAAACAAGAAAAAAUUAUUCCAGCAAGCAGACACAGAACAUAAUCAUGGCGGUUAACAAAUGAACAAACCAAGCUUAAGGCGAGCACAACCACGAUCUCAAGAAGACUAAGAAACAGCGACAACAAAUUCAAACAGGUAUUAAGACAUUUUCGAAAGCGAAGCACACAAUACCAGUUUCAGAAAGCUUAAGAUGAAGAGAAAAACUCAGCUUGAGCAUGUCAUAUCGGAUCCCUCUUGAAUCGACAAAGAACAAAACACGAUUCAACACGUUCAAACUCGAGAUGAACAAAAUAGUUACUAAAUGUUUACCUCUUGCUGAGCAGCGAAUGGGACGGUGACGAGUUUCUGGGAAUGCUUCCACCACGAAAAUUUAACCACGAACAGCGAAAUGAAGAACUUGGACAGAAUAUGAGCAGUUCUCUAUUCGGGAGUGUAUUGCUACUUUUGCUCAAGUUAUUCUCUAUAUUUUCGCUCAAAAACCCCCCCUUAACAAUGAUAAAAAUGAGAGUUUAUAUAGAGGGGGAGCUAGGGUAGAUUUGAGGGGGAAAAAUGAGGGUAAAACUGGAAUCCCUUUUUCGAAAUUUGAACUUCCUCCCUAAGAACAGAAAAAUUGCUCCUUGAUGUGCGACAACACCAAUUUUUCAACAAACUCCAACGGCUAAACAACAAGGGUCGUUCGAUCUUGAGGUGAGGACAAAGGGACGAGGAGAUAAUUCCACCUGGCUGCGAAGGAUGAAGCUGCCUGCUGGAAUCGGCGCUGGAACAGUACUACGCGUACUGUUUGUCGGGGAAAAGAGGAAGACGACGAGAAAAUGCAGCGUACCGUUGUACGCGUACUGCCGCCGCUGCUUUCCGUGUAUAGCCGUGAGUUACUCCUGUGAUUUUUGACUCUGUUAGCUGCUAUUGUCGUUGGAAUUGGACGUCGGUACUAUGUACCGCUAUUGAGCGUUCUGGGUCUUCUUUUGAGCAAGGAUUUGGGCCGGGUUUGGGUCAAAGGAAUGAAAAAAUGGUGGGCUGGAAAUUGGAGGCUGAAUGCAUGAGAUUUGGGCCAGUAUUUGGCUGAAAAUUAAUCCAAUAAGCGGAGCAAAAAAUAUUGGUCAAAUUUGAAUUCGAAAAGUAACCAAACGGAUUACAAAUUUGGCCAAGUGAAAUUAAGAAUUUAGCCAGAAUUGCAUGUCAUUGGCGAAUUAGGCUAAGAAUUGAAUAAGAUAAAUUAAUUAACGAGCUUCUUAAUUUUAACGAAAUAAAAUAAAUUAACUUAAUUGUAAAAUAAUGAUUCAAAAUUAUAACCAUAAUUUUAACUAAACUAAUUUAACAAAAUACUUACUAAAAUUAAAAUCUUUUUGAGAUGAUUUUCAAAUGUUUAUAAAGUAUUCUUAAUUAUAUACGCAAUUAUAUAAAAUCUAUUUACUACUUAAAAUGCUAUAAAAAUGGCUAAAAUAACUUUUAAUUUUUUUUUGAUUUUUUAUAAAUUAAUUAUUUCAAAUCGUUUGAAAUUAAAGAAACUCCAAAGUUAAUUCCUAUCAUGGAGGGUCAAAAUUGGAUGUCAACAGUUGGUACUCAAAAUGAACAGCAUAUGUCUGUGAUACAUCACAGGCACAACCAGGACACGGCAUGAGUGAAUCAUAUUCCAUCCACAACUCUUUAAGCUUGGAGAAAUAGACUGAAACUGAUGAGACUCCUUGAUUGAGUGUAGCAAUUUCCUUGUGCAAGUAGAAUAUACGAGAGCCAUCCACUUUGUCAAAUCUCUCUUUGAGAUCUGUCCAUACUUGUUGAGCAUUACUAGCAUAGACAAUUCCACUAAGAAGCUCUCGACUAAUAGAGAUCAUGAUCCAUGAGAGAACAACGGCAUUACAUUUUUCCCACAAAGCAUGUAGAGAAGCAGGAAACUUAUCCUUUGAGCUAGCACCAUCAACAAAACCUAUUUUUCCUUUUCCUAGCAAACCUAUCUUCAUUGAUCUACUCCACAGAGAAUAAUUCUCAGAUCCAGUAAGUUGUAAAGAGACAAGAGAGCUAUCUGGAGUGUCACAUGCUUGCAGGUGCAGCGGAUGAUGAGAAUCAAUUGGAAACUCUCUUCCUACAGCUGUAGGAAUGGUAGAAUCAGAGUUUGACAUUCACCGAUCGCCAUUGAUGACUACACAACAGCGUAAACAAUAUAGAUUCAACUACUUCUCAAACAAUGCAACUCCUUUUGAGAAAGCUGUCGGAAAAAAAAUGCAGAGAUAAUCAGUAGAUCAUUGAUGGCUUUGAUACCAUGAUGAGAUUCAACAAUGGUGAAACAAGGUUAUGGAAUCACUGAUGAACUAGAGAGAAAACUGUAAGUUUUAUUCAUGAAAAGUAAAUGUCUCUUUACACAAUAUUGGCACUAUGCUAUUUAUAGUGUGUCUACUCAUAACCUCCUAAUCUAGUUAAUCUAACUCAACCAGAGUUAACUUUAACUAACAUUGUAACAAACUCUAUAACUAACUUUCCAAUUUCACUAUUCAUAAUAACUGACUUCUAGCUUCAACUUGUUUAUAACAAUAACUAUACUACUGUUGGUGAUUCCCCUUAUGGUGAUCACUGGCGUAACCUUCGUCGCCUCUGUGCACUUGAAAUUUUCUCCAAUAAUCGUCUCAACAAUUUUCAGCCCAUUCGACAACAUGAAUUCAAUAAUCUUGUUCACAGAGUGUUUCAUAACUCUGGCGACAAUUUUGGGACUCCUGUUGACCUUAAGUCCAAGCUUUUUCAGAUGUCAUACAAUAUCAUCAUGAGAAUGGUAGCUGGAAAGAGAUAUUAUGGUGAAGAGGAAGACAACGAGCUAGGAGGCAAAUCAUUUUCAUUAUCCAAUUAUGUACUAUAUAUAUUUUGGACCAAUGAAUUGAAAAGUCUAUAUUGGGUCAGCAACCUCAUGAGAUAAAUUUCGUUAUCCAAUUAUGUACUAUAUAUAUUUUGGACCAAGGAAUUGAAAGGUCUAUAUUGGUUCAGCAACCUCAUGAGAUAUAAACCAAGCAAGUGAAACAAGUUGAGAUAUGUCCAAGGCAAAAAAAUGGAAGCAACUUUGCUGCUCCCUAUUUGCUUACUAGUACUAGUUCUAAAACAUGUCUUGUCAAGACGAAGAAAACUCAAUCUCCCACCAAGUUCAUUACUUAAACUUCCAAUUAUAGGCCAUCUCUAUCUCCUAAAACCUCCUCUACAUCGAACCCUGGCUAACCUCUCAACUAAAUAUGGCCCUGUUUUCUCCUUCAAUUUGGUACCCGUUUUGUUGUGGUGGUUUCCUCCUCAUCUACUGUCGAAGAAUGCUUCACCAUAAACGAUGUCGUUUUCGCUAAUCGCCCUCGUUUAAUGAUUGGAAAAUACAUAGGUUAUAACUAUACUACUGUCGCGGGUUCCCCUUAUGGUGGUCACUGGCGCAACCUUCGCAGCAUCUGCGGACUCGAAAUUUUAUGCACAAAUUGUCUCAACAAUUUUCAGCCCAUUAGACAACAUGAAAUCAAGGUUCUAGCUCAUAGAGUGUUUCACAAGUCUGGUGACAGUCCUUUUGAACUUAAGUCCAAGUUAUUUCAGAUGUCGUACAAUAUUAUCAUGAGAAUGGUAGCUGGAAAGAGAUAUUACGGUGAAGAGGUAGAUAGCGAGGAGGCACAUCAUUUUCGGAAGCUUAUGGAAGAGGUUAAUUCAUAUGGAGGUGCAUCAAAUCCCGCGGAUUUCGUGCCUGCAAUAUUUCUGUUGUUUUCCAGGAGCACGGAGAACAAAUUAGCCAAGCUUAGUAAAAAGAUGGACGCUCUCUUGCAAGGUUUGGUUGAUGAACAUCGUCGCGAUAAAAGCUGGAAUACUAUGAUUGAUCAUUUGCUUUCUUUGCAAGAAUCAGAACCAGAGUAUUACACUGAUCAGAUCAUCAAAGGGAUUGUUUUGGUAAGCUUCCUUCUAGACUCUAUGUUAAUUGAGAAUCUGUGUCACUUAAAAGGCCCCAUCUUCUCUCUCUAUAUCGUUUCUGUGCCUCAUCUAUGCUCUCUUUCACACUUCCUUUCUUACUGCUUACUGUUCUUAAAUCUUUGUGCUACCUUCAAUUGCAGAAAUAUAACAAUCAAUUCCCAGUAGUUUCCGCAUUACUUCUCCAACCCCACUGGACCCGGCUCCUCUCCAUUUCCCACAAUGGGGCCUUGAAUUUCUUAUACGUGUCCCUCGUACAAUCUAAGGGAUAAUAUUUAUUUAGUUAACCUGAGUUGAAGCUUUUAGUUAACCAAAACUAAAUAAAUAUUGCCCCAUAGAUUGUACAAGGGUCUGGGAUAAGAAAUUCAAGACCCUGCCGUGGGAAAUUGAGAGAUUAACCACCGGAGAGGACCCGGGUCCAGAGUGGGGUUGGAGAAGUAAUGCAAGAGAAGCAGGACACAACUGGUAUUUUUUCUCUCUAAACUCUAUAUAUGAAGAGGAAAAAGUAGAGAUGACCAUCUGCAUUUACACUCUAAACUUCACUAUUUCACUUUUCUAUAUUUUAUUAUUAGUUAUAUUAUAUAUCAUUUGUAAUUAAACAUAGUAUAAAUUAUAUACCAUUAAUGAAGUCUCUAAUUAUUUUCUAAUGUAAUAUCUUUAUUAUAUUAAUUUUAAAUUUAUACCUUUAGUUUCCGUAAAAAUAUUUUUUAUUUAAGAUAUAAGUUAGUUUUAUUAUAAUUUAUAAUUGUAUUAAACAAAUAAAUGAAAAGCACAUGUAAAACGAGUAAUUAAAUUAAAAACAUUGAAAAAUAUACUAUUUUCAUCCCGAAUUAACAAUCUUUUUAACUUUAGAAAAUAUUUUAAAUAUUUAUCACUUUAAAUAUGUAAAUUAAAAUUAUAAUUAUGUUUCAGUUCUUACAAAAUUUAAAAUAAGUGAAACAAUCUACUUUUAUUAUAGUGAUAAAUUAUUCAAUCACACUAUUUGAUGAGCAUAAGAUCAAAUAGAUGAUGCAAUUAAUAGUUAAAAAUGGAAUAGGGAAAGAAACACUUUGAUACAUGAUAUUGUUAAAAAUACAAUACAAGAUACUUACUUGAGAAGUUUGGACUCCAAAUCCAACGGCAGAAAUGGUGGUAGAUGUUUCUCAUUGGGUAAUAACUGCAGAUCAUGCUAAAUGCGGGAACGGAUACAUCAUCGGCGACAACAGAGUGGGCAAUGUCUCUUCUACUUAACCAUCCAGAGGUGUUGGAGAAGGCUAGAGCUGAAAUAGACAACCAUGUGGGUAAGGAUCGUUUAGUUGAUGAAGCGGAUUUACCCAAGCUGAAGUACCUUCAAAGUAUCAUCUCCGAGACACUCCGAUUGUUCCCAGCAGCACCAAUGCUAUUGCCUCAUGAAUCAUCUGAGAUUGCAAGGUCGCUGGCUUCCACAUUCCACGAGGCACGAUGCUAUUGGUGAAUGCUUGGGCCAUUCAUAGGGAUCCGUUACUUUGGGAGGAUCCGGAUAGCUUCAAGCCAGAAAGGUUUGAAGGUGUGGAAGUGGAAUCAUGGAAGUUGUUGCCAUUUGGAAUGGGAAGGAGAGCAUGCCCUGGCUCCGGACUUGCUCAACGUGUGGUUGGUUUAGCUUUAGGAACUUUAGUGCAGUGUUUUGAAUGGAAAAGGGUAAGCGAUGAGAGGGUCGAUUUGACAGAAGGAAAAGGUCUCACUAUGCUAAAAGCUGAGCCACUCAUGGCUAGAUGCAAAGCUCGUGAAAUUGUUCACAAACUUCUUUCAGAAAUAUCCUGAUCGUGUCUUUCUUGCAUGUUGUUAGUUUAGAAAGGUUUGAACAAGUAAUAAAUCAUUGUCUCAUAUGCUAUGCACUACCUGAGUUUCUAAUUUGUCAUUCAGAUACUUUGGAAUAAUAUACAUAUGAGGUGCUACUUCAUUUGAAUGGUGAAAUCAUAGGCCGUGGACUACAGAUUUGAUGAUUUUAAUUGGAAUUAUCAUCUUGAAACGACGCAACAACAUAAAUAUGAAAGAUUACUAAAAUGUCAACAGAUAUUAAUUCAGAACCCAUGCAUAAUUUUCAAUGAACAAUGGAUCAGUGGUCAUUUCGCGGUUGAACCCAUGCAUCAAUUUAAAUCCUCCUGGCGUAAAAGUAUAGUAGAAACAAGGCUAUAAGCCUUUGGACUCGGUUACAACUCCAAAUUGCAGUAAGUAAUUUGAAUUUUUGUAAAGAAGACAUCAUUUCUUCUCAGGAACUGCUCAAAUUUCAUAUAUCUAAACUUGCUGGUGUCCUCACGCACGGUGGAACCUGUUUCCAUGCUUCACGGAGAAGCUUGUAUCUAACAACAUUCCUUGCAGGUUUCGCUAAAUUCGGAUAAUCCUUGAAGCUAUCAGCAAGGAACGAAGUAAACGAUGAGUCUAGUUCAUCAAGCUCAGCACAGAUGAUCCAGUACUUUUUAGAACUUGAUUUCCAACCUUCUCCAUGAAAGUGGUGAGAGACAAUGCUGGAGGAGGUGUAUACAGUGGAAGCUCUUUUUAAAAAAGGGAAAAAAUUGUUGCAAAAAAAUUUGAACACGCGAGCACCGACUCAUUAAAGAUAUCUAAACACAUAUUCAAGACACCUUAAAUC